UGAGGAAUGGCCCUUCCUUUCUGCAUAAACUUUUUCCUGGGGAGUUCCCAGUGAUAAAAGACUCCCUGGCUGCCUUGCACCAGUCCUGCUCUUCAGAGAGUGCUGCCUGGCAGAGAUUCACCCUGGACAAGGUAGGCUUUCCCAACACCCUGCGCACAGCCCAACUCAUUGGGGAAUAUUGCUCAUGUCCUCUCCCUGCACUGAGCACCAUACAGCGUACUCCUGCU
rnacentral:lncRNA from 1 species